rnacentral:rRNA from 1 species
AUUGAACGCUGGCGGCAGGCCUAACACAUGCAAGUCGAAUGGUAACAGGAAACAGCUUGCUGUUUCGCUGACGAGUGGCGGACGGGUGAGUAAUGUCUGGGAAACUGCCUGAUGGAGGGGGAUAACUACUGGAAACGGUAGCUAAUACCGCAUAACGUCGCAAGACCAAAGAGGGGGACCUUCGGGCCUCUUGCCAUCAGAUGUGCCCAGAUGGGAUUAGCUAGUAGGUGGGGUAACGGCUCACCUAGGCGACGAUCCCUAGCUGGUCUGAGAGGAUGACCAGCCACACUGGAACUGAGACACGGUCCAGACUCCUACGGAAGGCAGCAGUGGGGAAUAUUGCACAAUGGGCGCAAGCCUGAUGCAGCCAUGCCGCGUGUAUGAAGAAGGCCUUCGGGUUGUAAAGUACUUUCAGCGGGGAGGAAGGAAGUAAAGUUAAUACCUUUGCUCAUUGACGUUACCCGCAGAAGAAGCACCGGCUAACUCCGUG